rnacentral:rRNA from 1 species
GAUGAACGCUGGCGGCAUGCCUAAUACAUGCAAGUCGAACGAGGGUCCUUCGGGACUCGAGUGGCGAACGGGUGAGUAACACGUAGGGAACCUGCCCGUGCGACCGGGAGAACUUUCGGAAACGGAAGCUGAUACCGGAUAGGGACAGAGACGGCAUCGACUCUGUGUUAAAGGAGCUGCAAGGCUCCGCGCACGGAUGGACCUGCGGUGCAUUAGCUGGUUGGUGAGGUAACGGCCCACCAAGGCGACGAUGCAUAGCCGGCCUGAGAGGGCGGACGGCCACACUGGGACUGAGACACGGCCCAGACUCCUACGGGAGGCAGCAGUAGGGAAUUUUCGUCAAUGGGCGCAAGCCUGAACGAGCAAUGCCGCGUGAACGAGGAAGGUCUUCGGAUCGUAAAGUUCUGUUGAAGGGGAAAAAGAGCGGAGAGAGGAAAUGAACUCCGAUUGAUAU